AGUGCUGAAAGCAUCUAAGCAUGAAGCCCCCCUCAAGAUGAGAUUUCCCAACUUCGGUUAUAAGAUCCCUCAAAGAUGAUGAGGUUAAUAGGUUCGAGGUGGAAGCGUGGUGACACGUGGAGCUGACGAAUACUAAUCGAUUGAAGACUUAAUCAA
rnacentral:rRNA from 1 species